UUAUCAAAGAUUUAUUGCUUUGAGAUGGACCCGCGGCGCAUUAGCUAGUUGGUAAGGUAACGGCUUACCAAGGCAACGAUGCGUAGCCGACCUGAGAGGGUGAUCGGCCACAUUGGAACUGAGACACGGUCCAGACUCCUACGGGAGGCAGCAGUGGGGAAUAUUGCGCAAUGGGGGAAACCCUGACGCAGCAACGCCGCGUGGGUGAUGAAGGUCUUCGGAUUGUAAAGCCCUGUUUUCUAGGACGAUAAUGACGGUACUAGAGGAGGAAGCCACGGCUAACUACGUGCCAGCAGCCGCGGUAAUACGUAGGUGGCGAGCGUUGUCCGGAUUUACUGGGCGUAAAGGGUGCGUAGGCGGAUGUUUAAGUGGGAUGUGAAAUCCCCGGGCUUAACCUGGGGGCUGCAUUCCAAACUGGAUAUCUAGAGUGCAGGAGAGGAAAGCGGAAUUCCUAGUGUAGCGGUGAAAUGCGUAGAGAUUAGGAAGAACACCAGUGGCGAAGGCGGCUUUCUGGACUGUAACUGACGCUGAGGCACGAAAGCGUGGGUAGCAAACAGGAUUAGAUACCCUGGUAGUCCACGCCGUAAACGAUGGAUACUAGGUGUAGGGGGUAUCAACUCCCCCUGUGCCGCAGUUAACACAAUAAGUAUCCCGCCUGGGGAGUACGGUCGCAAGAUUAAAACUCAAAGGAAUUGACGGGGGCCCGCACAAGCAGCGGAGCAUGUGGUUUAAUUCGAAGCAACGCGAAGAACCUUACCUGGACUUGACAUCCCUUGCAUAGCCUAGAGAUAGGUGAAGCCCUUCGGGGCAAGGAGACAGGUGGUGCAUGGUUGUCGUCAGCUCGUGUCGUGAGAUGUUAGGUUAAGUCCUGCAACGAGCGCAACCCUUGUUAUUAGUUGCUACCAUUAAGUUGAGCACUCUAAUGAGACUGCCUGGGUAACCAGGAGGAAGGUGGGGAUGACGUCAAAUCAUCAUGCCCCUUAUGUCCAGGGCUACACACGUGCUACAAUGGUAGGUACAAUAAGA
rnacentral:rRNA from 1 species